rnacentral:lncRNA from 1 species
AACGUAUGCAGUAUCCGCACUAGUAAAAGAAUUCGGAUUGCACUUGCAGUAGCGCUCGGCAAACUUUUCCAUGAUACGAUCAAUUUUUUGUGCUUCUCCAGGUAACCUGAAGCCUCGUAAGAAGAACCUAAUUGCUUCACCAAAAUCCAUGCCUUGAAAAUUUAGUGAAUCCACAUAGGCAUGCAUAACUUUCAAAGGGAACUCAUCCCUUUCACCCAGAUAGUCUCCAAUAGUUGUAGCAUUUAACCCAGCUGUGCUUCUCAGGAAAGAAGCUACCGCUUCCGGAGAAGAAGUUAUUUUCUUUGUGUUGAUAAGAAACUCAAUACCCUUGGAAGGCUUCCUAUUGAACAAUGUUAUGCCUUUCUGCAAUAGACAGUUUAUUUAGUUUAACAAAUAAGAGCACUUGGAACCUUUAAUAAGUGUGGGCUAGCAACAAGAAAUAGUACUACACAGAACAAGACACCAUUUUCACCUGAAGCUCUAAUUUGUAGGCACGGCGUUGCUCAAGUGUCGCAGCACCAGAGAGUUCAACACUAAAAUCGGACUGCAAUUCGUAAUCAAUUCCAUUACCUUCUUCUCCGUUGAUUGAAAUAGGGUUGUCUGGUGAAUGAUCAGUCUCAGUACUUUUAAGAUAAAAAUCUCCUAUUUUCGAUUGUUGAUCCAACCAUGCGCCCAUUGACUUAAUGAUAGUAGCAAGGCAUUUAAUCGACUCAUUUCGGAAAGUAUAAUCUUGGGCUGGGGAUAAUGUUGUCACAGAUCCAGGAGGGACACCAAGAGCAGUCUUGACAAGACCAUUGACAGUCCUGCGAUCAUCUGAUGGAAUUAAAAGUGUUUUAAUACAUAUUAACUGAAAUUUGCAGGAAAAAAGGUUGUAACAAGGAGAAUGAUACUCAGAGUUGAAACAUUACAGUAUAUUUUAUUAUUCAUUCAAUUGGCUUAAACGAAAUGGCAGGAACUUUAGCUUUGGUUAUUUGUCGAAAGGAAGGAACAAGUGAUGGACUUUUGUUCAAUUCUGUAGACUCUGGUACCUUUCAAAAAUAUUUGGCGCAUCGACAUCACAAUCAUAGUUCACAAAAAUAUCAACAAUAACCUGCGGGUCUUGGCAGAUCUUAUCCCACAAGUUGAGAACCGUCAUUUUCUGCAGGAAACUAGGCUGAAGAAUAUUCUCAAGAACUCGUAGAACAAGCAUGGGAAAGAAAAUCCCUAUUUCCUCUUUCAGCCCAGAUCUAAACCUUGACAACAAGCCCAUGAAAAUAGAGCAGAGAAGCUGAAAAAUACUCAUUGCUGACAAUGCGCUAUUCUUCAACAAUGAUAAGCAGAGGUACUGCUUAAUUGCUCCAAGAUACCUGUAUGAACAAGGAGGGUGUCAAGAGUAGUUUUUAAUUAAAAAGGCACCAGUCAGAGUUAACUAGCCUAAAGUAAAUAGUGCAUUUUUAUCUUCUAUUGCUAUGAUCGUCGCUUAGGAUUUAACGAAUAUUUCCAUCUGUGCAUAUAUGAAUGUGAAAAUACAGCUUCAGAACCGCAGAAAUGCUAUUCAACCUCUACAGUCGACAAACGUACAAAAGAGUGGUAGAAAAUAAAAAAACGAGUAAUUAAGUAAACAGAUAGGUAAUAUCACUUCUAAGACAUUGAUGGCAAAAUUUUGACAUUUUGACAAAAACUGAUAACAUGCCACCUCAAAUAAUGGUAAGAUGGUGAAAGAAUCUAUCUAAAAUAGGUGACAGAAUACGGGGCCUUUGGUAAUUUAAUUUGAUAACAACAAUCAAUUUUUUGCAUUUGUUGAAUAGAAGGAAUUGAAUGAGAAUAACAAACGAUGCAUUAACUUUCUUAGUCACAAAAAUCAGCUGAGAGUCAAUUUAUCACCGCAACUUAGUGAUAAAAAUGAACAUUAUUGCAAUUUCAGUAAAAUGUGCAGGUUUAUAUGCAAAUAUUUAAUGAAUAUUGCUGAGAUUAUCAAGUUGGAACGUGUAUGAUUAGUACAUGAGUCAUGCCUACAGCUAAAUGCACUAGACAAGCCAAGAUAUUAUACAACCCAAAUAAUUCCACAUACAAGUUUUUUUUUCUCAAACCUAAUUUGAGCUAACAUUUACUGACUGGCAAAUCUCAAUAUCCUUGAGGUCCAAUACUAAUAUUUCUUUGUCUCCACAUAACCUCCAUAUUGAUCCUUUGAGUAAGCAAAUAACUUCCAUGUCUCACGCUAGGUACAAAACAAUGAAAAUUGAACUAAUGGGAGAGAUGGUAGUUGAAGUAAUAAUAACAGAUAUAAACAGCUAGCAACAGUUUGUGAAUAAAAAAAACUGUAUCUAGAAUAUCACAAAAAACUAAAACCUAGAAUAGUACAAACCUCUGGUUAAGUGUUUGAAAAGGCGCACCUGCGGUGCACGCCUUAGCAGGUGCGAGGUGCAAGCCUCUGCACCUCAUUGCACCAAAGGCGGAACGUCGUAACCUAAGACCACUGUUUGAAAAGACGUAUGCCUCAGCCGGCGCAAGGCACAAGCCUCUGCACCAUGUUUCACCUGAGGUGCAGCACUGUGCUGGGGAACGAAGUGCACGUGAGGCAGGGGCCUCACAAUAUGUUAAGGAUAAAUGGGUCACAUGUUUCUUAUGUAGAACUUUUAUUUCUGUGAUGCCCUUUCUUUAUUUCAUUAAUAAUUCCAUUAUUUUACCUUUUAAACAUUGAGAGUUCAUGUCGCAUUGCUAUUUUACUAGUUUGCUACAAUAUUUAGCAUUUACAUAUACUAAUUUUGUCUCUUUUCUUGCAGUAUAUGCUUGCUUGUGAGUGAUUUUUUGGGUAAUUUGCUUUUAAUGUCUUAUUUUGUUUUUGUUCGUUACUAGAUUAUUUCAAGAGUACUUAUUUUAAAAAGAAAAUUGUAUCAAGGUUUGCCUCACCUUCUUCAAGCGUGCACCUCACACGUGGGCCUUGCACCGAGGCUCCAAAAGUCCUUUGCACCUAUUUGCACCUCACACCUUGUAAAACAUUGCCUAAGACUGCACAAGCAUCAAGCCUCGGUAAUAAGUUUGUUAGAUAUGUCUUAAAUUCUUGGACCCUCCCCGACUUAUUAUGUCAUUUGAAAUUCUUUAGAAACUGAACAAGAAAUUUUGUAGAGGUCAAUGGCGUUAAGCACGGGGCUUAGCCCAAUAGAGCCAGAAGCCUUGCACCGAGGCUCCAAAAGUCCUUUGCACUUUUUGCACCUCACAUGUAACGCCCCAGCUUCCCAGGGGGUCACCCAUCCUAGGACUACUCCCGUCCUAGCACGCUUAACUCUCUUAACCUCUUGGGCCUUGCCACCACCCAAAAUGCUUAAGCCGGGUUAAGAGUUUUAGCCCUAUUAUAUCUCAUAUAUAGGACUAUCUGGGGUCUCACAAUCUCCCCUCCUUUAAGCCCUGACGUCCUCGUCAGGCUCAGACUCACAAGUACCAGGCGAUGUGAGACUCAUCUCGCUAGCCCGUCAUCCAGACCCUGGCUCAGCCGAGACUCAUCUCACACUUCCGGCUGGUAAUUGGCUCUGAUACCAUCUGUAACGCCCCAGCUUCCCAGGGGGUCACCCAUCCUAGGACUACUCCCGUCCUAGCACGCUUAACUCUCUUAACCUCUUGGGCCUUGCCACCACCCAAAAUGCUUAAGCCGGGUUAAGAGUUUUAGCCCUAUUAUAUCUCAUAUAUAGGACUAUCUGGGGUCUCACAUCACACCUCUUAAAGCAUUACCUGAGACUAUACAAGCAUCAAGCCUCAAUAAUAGUCUGUUAAAUGUGUCUCAAAUUCUUGGACCUGCCCCGAUUUAUGAUGUUGCGAUAUUCUUUAGAAAGCGAACAAGAAAUAUUGUAGUCGUCUAUGGUCGUAGUAGGGGGCUUAGGCCGAUAUGGCCAGUAGUUUUCCUAACCUAUUAUGUUUUUGGUUGACCAUUUAAGUUAUAUCAGGAUUAGUACUCCUAAUCUUAUUCUAUUUUGAUCAACCUGAUUAGUUUAGUUGAUAUUAUCCCUAGUCUUAUUAUCAAACCACUUAUAUAAAUAUACCGCUUAUUCCAUGGAUUGGGGCAUAUCAAAAGAAAGCAUUGGGUAAAUUUCGACGCUAGAGUUUUCCAAGAGACAUCCUUUUGUACUCCACUUUUGUCAGUAAUAAAAGCUUUGCUCCGUCUACACCCGCAAACAUAGACCAGUCACCAGCGGCAUUGCUCGUUGCUUCAUUUUCCUCUCUAUUUCUCAACUUUCUUCGACGGUUUUACCCGACUAACAAGAGUUUUUCAAAUUUUGUCAUAACAAGGACAUUUUUUUUCAGCCAUGUUAUCACUUUUUCUCUCUCUGACGCAAACCAAGGGGUUGCUAAAUCUAAAUUUUCAACUUUGUUUUCGUUUAAAGGUAUUUCUUGAAAUAAACUAGGUUCAAAUCUAUCAAUUCCGCAGAGCUUUACUAAAAUUAAAGUAAGAAGCAAAACAAGAUUUCAGCAAGACAAAAUUAAAAUCGAAUUGAAACAAUACUAAGACGGUAAUAAACCUUCAAUAUAUGAGAUAAAAACAACCAACUAAAAAUAAAUAAUAGUUCCAAAAAGGUAAAUUCGGUUUUAUCAGACUUAAAACUUUUAGAUUUAGUUGUUUUGGCAAUGAUGAUUGAUAAUGGUGGAAGUCUAGAUUGAAAAGGAUAAUGGGAUAUCAGGAGAUGAGGGAGAAAAGAAGAUAAUAAGAAGCGCAUCGAUCACACAAUUGCGGGGGAUCCACGAUCACCUAGGAAGGCGGUAUACCACGAGCAGAACUUCAACAACGGGGAAGAAAUAGAAGAGGCAAACACCCAGAAGAAGAGGGGCAAAAGUAGAAACCGAUCUUGCCAGGAGGAAGAAUCGACAAUGAUCAAGUAGAGGAAAAAGAACACUAUAGCAAGAAUAAGAACAAGAGCAAAAGUAAGUUUCUAUUCAUCAAGUCUGCCCUCAAAGCAUUAAGAACCAAGUAUUUAUAGUGUUAAGAACCUAUCCUAUAAUAAAUUGUUGCCUUUUCUUCUUCAGUCACCCAAGGGUCAUGCAUAGACGACGAAGCAAUUUUAGGAAAACCAAAAGGCUUUUUUGGGAUUGUUUCUAUGUUUAUUGGAGAAAAGGUUUGGGUUAACUAAAUCAACUAAAACUAAUCGAUUUAAGCCCGAAUCAAACACGAACUUACAACGAAAAUUGCAUUCAAAAAUAAAAAGUUUUAUUUGCUGCAUCAAUUCUCCCUGAAUCGGAGAGAGCUCGACCCCGUCAAGAUGGCAUCCUGAUAGCUCUAGUACAAGUCCUCUCGAAGUUGGCACAACUCCGCCUUAGAAAUUGAAUUGCUGUCAGACAAUGGUCGCCUACGCCAAUGUACUAAUAAGUAUCGAUGAUGGGUACCACGACACGUUGCAGACUCACGCACAUCCAGAAUUUCCUCCACCCCAUCUGAUGGUGUUUCAAUGUUGGUGCGAGAUGUCAAGCCACAAAUAUCGAUAGUAGAGGGGGCCUCUACAUGAUACUCAUAUAGCUCGCUGACAUUGAAGAUCGGGGAUGUCGAUGCUUCUAGGGGCAGAUCAACUAGAUAAGCGUUUUCCCCUAACUUCUUCAGAAUUUUGAAUAGCUCUUACUUUUUCCUAUUCAACUUGCUAUAACCUCUAACUAGGAACCUUUCUUUCCUAAAAUAUAUUAAAACAUUAUCCCCUUAAUUAAAAGUCAUUCCUCGACGAUGUUUAUCUACUGACUCCUUAUACUUGAUAGUGAAAUCCCGCAAUCUCUGAUGAACUUGUUGCUUCACCUCUUGAAUCUGUUUUAGAUAAUAUUUGACAUCUGCACUAACUCUAUUAGGGUAAGGUAUGGGUGCUCGGUCAAGGAAGUGGGCUAAAGCUUCAAAAGGAGAUUUUCCAAUGUUUCGAUUAUGGAACUAUUAUAAGCAAAAUCAGCUUGAGUGUGAUUAAAUCCCAUUGUGGUUGUUUUUCUCCAACUAAACAUCUUAAAAGAUUACCCAAAUAUUGAUUUACUAUUUCCGUCUACCCGUCAGUUUGUGGAUAAUAUGGGCUACUAAAAUUCAAUUUGCUUCCUGCUUUUGACGUUAAAGUUCUCCAAAAAUGACUAACAAAUUAUGUGUCACGAUCAGAGGCAAUUAAUUUAGUAAUACCAUGUAAACGUACAAUUUCAUUGAGAAAUAAUUUUGCAAUAUGUAAUGCAUCAGAAGUUUUUUGCAAGGAAAAAAAUGAGCUAUUUUUGUAGAACGAUCAACAACCACAAAACUGAAUCAACUUGGCGUGCAGUCUUGGGUUGGCCUAGGACAAUCCAUGGUAAUUUCUUCCCAAGAUAUAGUAGGAAUGGGCAGAGUAUACAAGCCGGUAUUUGAGUUUGUACUUUAAAUGAUUGACAAGUUUUACAACGCUAAACAAAUCUUUCAACAUCCUCACUUAUGUUAAGACAACGAUACCGCUCUUAAACUAAUCCAAAGUUUUGUCUCUCCCGAAAUGCCCCCUAGCCCACUAUUAUGUAAAUCAUGAAUCAAGGACUCUCUUAACAAUCCCUAGGGAAUGCACAACUUGGACUUUCUGAAAAAGUAUUCGUUCAAACAGUAAUCAGAAGGAGAAUUAUUGUUAGGAGAUGGACACUUUUCUAGGAUAGUACCGAAGUUAGGGUCAUUUUGAUAUUUGUCCUUUAUUACCUCAAAUCCUACUAUCCGUAAGAAAGAAGUGACAAGCAAAUGUUUUCGAUGGUUGAGUGCAUGAACGACAUGAUUGCAAUGCACCUUGUUUAUGCCGCAAAUGAAAAGUGUGUUCUUGCAGGAAUACAGUCCACUUGACAUGUCUUUUGUUCAAGUCCUUUUGAGAAUUUUAAUAUCACAAUGCUUCAUGGUCCGAAUUAAAAAUAAACUCUCAAUGAAUCAAGUAGGGUUGCCAGUGUUUCAAAGCCUACACAAUUGCGUAAAAUUCAAGAUCAUAAGUAGAGUAACACGCUCGUGCAUAGUUCAAUUUUUCACUACAAAAGGCUAUAGGACGUUUUUCUUGAGAUAGUACCCCUCCAAUUCCAAUAUGUGAGACAUCACAAUCAAUUUCAAAUCCCUCUUUGAAGUCGGGCAAGGCAAGUACUGGAGCCUUUGUAAGUUUGUCCUGAACCAAUUGAAAACUUUUUCAACUUCAGGCGUCCAAGUAAAUUUACCCCUUUUUAGGCAAUCAAUUAUUGGAGCAAUUAAUGAACUAAAAUUUCGAAUGAAAUGCCGAUAAAACAACGCAAGUCCAUGAAAACAUCAUAUUUCAGUCAUAGUCUUUGGGGUUGGCCAACUCUGAAUUGCUUUUAUCUUAACAGAAUCUACCUUAAUUCCCUCGGUAAACACCACAUAUCCUAAGAAGGUAAGGCUAUCAAUCAGAAAAGUAAAUUUCUUAAGAUUCAGGUAUAAAUUGUUAUCUCUUAAAGUUUGAAGCACUUGUCUUAAUUGGUCUAUAUGAGUUUCAGGACUUGUGCUAGAAUGUCAUUGAAGUAAACUACGACAAAUUCCCAAAUGAAUAGUCGCAAGACUUGGUUCAUGGAGCACAUGUAGCACAUUGAACUUUAGCAAAUUGCAGAGUUCUAGUGUAAGAACAGCAUUUUGAGCUAUUUUGGGAGUUUGGGUUGAUGUUUCGGGUGUGUUGGUCUGUUUUCGAAGCUUAAUGGGCCCGAGAACGGAUUUUGACAUCAAAUCCUGCGAAACUGCAGUUUUUGUGUUAAGUACCGGUACUGGGUAUGAGGUACCGGAACUCAGUGGAGUGCUGAUUUAGGCAACUCUCAAGUUUUGCGGAACUCAGCUGAGUACUGGUACUGCAUCGGACGGGUACCGGAACGCGAUAGAAACCGGAAUAUCCAACGUUCGAGUUUUCCGGAAUUGACCUUCGGGUAACGAAACUGCCCGAGUACCGAUACUCCAAUUCGUGUACCAGUACUCAAUGGUGCAGAGACUGCUUCUUACAGUUUGUAAUUUUUGAGAUUUGAGGGGCUUUUAGGGAUAUUGUUACAAUAUGAAAAAUACCCCUUCACCCUUCUCAUUUGCCUUGUUGUGGCUGAGGUUGAGGGAGGAGAAAGAGGUGAGUUUCUCUCCUCUCUUCUUGGAUUUCUUCUCCAACACCUCUCUAAUCUUUAAGUUUUCUUUCUCUUCUUCAUCUCCUUCAUGUAUGCAUGCAUCUAGGCCUUGGAGGGAAGCUCGGGAUUAAAGGAAAGAGUUUGUUUGAGGCUUGGACUUCAACCCUAACAUCUUAUAGCUUGAUUUGGAGCUUAGUUUGAGAUUAGUAACCUUCUUGCAUUCUCUAUUUGUGAGUUUUGCAAGAAUUUUUAGUAGAAAACCUAGUUUGGUGGAAACUAGGAUUUAUUUUGGAAUUUUCUUUUUGUGAGCUUUUGAGGUUAAAUUGACGGAUGUAGAACACUCUUUUAGGUUGGAUUUGAAGCCCCAUUACAUUGAUUUGGACCUUGGCCAAGUUUUACUUGAUCAAACAUAAUUUUCACCUAUUUUCUACUAGAUUUUUGGUGAAUUUCGUGGUGAACUUUUUAGAAACUUGUAACCCCUUGAAAAUUUUCUUAGGGUGCAAGAGGUCUAGGGGACAAUUUUAUUUGAGAAACGAUCAAGUUCUCGAAGGAUAUUCGGUGGUUUUGACCUCAUCGAAAUGGGUGAACUCCCCCUAUGUCUCCUAUCAUGUUAUAAGACUUAAUAAAUGGUUUCUUAUGCUAGUCAUGACAUCAUAGAAUUUUUGGAUUCAUGGCAUAUUCAUUCUUUAUGAGAAAGUUUACAUUCUCUACAAAACAAACUCCGACACAAAAGAUCAAUAUCAAUAAAAGCCUAUUCUCUCGCGAUAGUCAGUACUCGCGUAAACAGCAGAGAAGAUCCAAGUAGGAGCACCAUAGGUGGUGAUAGCUCCAUGAACGGCCAGUGGGGAGCUAGCAAUGAAAUCGAUCCGAACAACCACUACUUCCACAACGUUUCUGUGUGCCAAUCCCGCUCCAGAUCCUGUUAUUAGGAGAUCGAAGCAAGCUUCCCUGCUUUUUGUCUCUGAUUCAGAGAAGUCUUCGGGUCGUCGUGUGAAGCAAAGAUAGUCAACUACCACAUCUACUUCGAACUCGCCUUAGGACUAUAGCAACUAGAUAGAUAGGAUUCCCUUCUUCACUUGCUGAUGGAGAUCAACAUAUCUAUCCUUGGUACGGCCUCGAGCUCCUCUUUUAUGUCCAGCAGAGCAUAGAUGUCAAUAGGAAGGGGAUCUUAUUCGGAAGCCCGCUAGUAAGGGCUUGGUACCUGGGGGCUAGACUACGUAUUCUAUGUAGCAGAGGGUUUACUGACAAUAACAUGCCUUGCAUGUCAUGACACAUGAAUUUGUAAUUGACCUAUUAAUCUUCUCUUGUGCAAGUAUACAUAUAUAUGCAUGUUAUAGAUGAGUAGUUGUAUUAUAUGAGACACUACAUAACUAGUGGUACUAUUGGGCUAGAACUUUAAUAACAAGUUAUAGGGCUAAGUAUAUGGUCCUUAACCAAGAUGAACAAUUUGAGAUAACAUUAUGACAUUAUAAUCGACCUCUAGAUAGUCAGUUGAUAUUCCAUAUUUAGACAUGAUGAAUAAGGUUUCAUAUGCAUUUGAUCACGCUUGUUUGCCUUUGUGCUCAUUCGCACAAGCUUGUGAGAGUCGCUCUCUACAAGCCGGCACUCUAGAGUUGGCCUUUGCGACAUCAUGCUUACCGUGCGGGAUUGGGCACCAAAGUGGGAUGCUGUGGGCAAAGCUCAUUCCUAGAGAGAGAAUGUUGACUACCACGGAGCCAUUAGGCGUGGCACAAGCUGGAACAAUACAUUAUGUAAGUCCCCGAUAAUUGGGUAAAAGUUAAGUAAACUUAACAUUGUACAUCACAACUAGUGAAUGCAUACAUAGUUCUUGAACAUACUUGUUGGUCAUUAUAUACUUGUAUAUUCGAUAGUAGUAGAGCUAUAUACAUGUUAAUUAACAUAGUCAUUUAGAGGCAUUGUGGUACUUGAACUUUUAUUUCCAUUACCUUAUUCAUACUUUAUCUUUAGCUACUUAUUAUCUUUACCUCAAUUGACCUAGUUGUGUAAUUCGCUUUUCUCGGCGGCUUACCGACUGGGAACUAUUAUUUAAUAGUUCUCAACCCUAAAUUAAUAAGUGUAAAAAUAUUUUCUCGGAAAAGAGGGUAGUACAAAUGUUUGCCAAUAGAUACAACAAAGACGAAAGAAGUUCUUACAAAUCACACAAUAGUUUUCAACAUAAGUGUUAUCUAUGUGAGAGGAGACCAUGAAACGAAAGGUCUAGUUUUCAUGAAAUCUUCGAAAAAACUUGCAUUUCAACUGUGUAUCAAUUAAAACACAAAAAGAAAAAAAAAUGGAAGUAGGAAAAGUUGGUAUUAGAGCUUAUCACAUUUUCCGCAGAAAGAGCACAGCAUUCGCCGAUGGUGGUUAUUACAUUUUCGACAAAGUAGUUACAAUGGCUUGUUUGUUUAGUUACGCAUCUUUAUAGCUUCUACACAGGAACUGGUGUCUCACAAGUUCCAAUUUUAUUCGAGAUCUCAACAUCUCAACAUCUCAACUUCAGGAUGCUUUAUGUGUAGCAUGGACCAUAAAAAGUCUAAUUUUCAUCAUGUUUUAUAAAAAGUUUGCAUUUUGAGAGUGUAUCUAUCAUUAAGAAUCAGGAAAAAUAAAAUCGAACAAAUUUUAGUUUAGUAACAAAACGUUGCAUGCCUGUCAUUGGUCCUCCAGAAAGGUCCGGCAUUGUCGACCACCAUCUUGAGUAGCUCCAGUGACAAAACCUUGCCCCUCAACAAGAGGGGGUCCUCAGGAUUAUCCGGCAUCGAGAACUUCAUCGAGAGCUUGCAGAGGUUCUUGAACAGGGAGAGGCCAUCCUCCCUGAUCUUACUCAUCUCGCCAUUCCCCGCCUCCGCAUCCGCCGCAUUGUUCUUCUCCUGCUGCUGCUGCUGCUGUGGCUGUGGCAUCUUUGUCGACAGGGCAGACAGGGCAGCAUCGGUACUCCCAGCUUCCAUGGCUUCAUUGAUGAAGUUCUGCGCAGUCUGGACGAGGCUCGCGUCGUUCAGGCUCCGAUCAGAGAGGUCCAUCAUGUCGGCAAUGGAGACAGUACGCACAGGGACUUCCAUGGUGUCUGCCUCGACGCGGGCGAAGAUGAUGGUGAGGGCCUGCGCGAGGACGAGCUUGGCGCAGAGCUGGUUGGCGGCGCUCUGGCUGCCGAGGUAGACGUUGUAGCAACUCCUGACGAGCUGGGCGAGGCUCUCGCCGCGGAGGGCGACGGCGGGGGAUCGGACAGCGGCGAUGAGGACCUUGAGAGCGGCGAGCUCGACGGCAUCGUCGCCGGGGCCAGCGCAGCAGGCGAAGACGGCGGCGAGGAGGCGGGAGGCGGUGGAGGAGGAGGGUUCGGACUCCGAGGAGUGGUCGAUGUCGCCGCAGAGGAGGCGAUGGGAGAAGAGCUUCUGCGCGCAGUCGAGGGCGGGCUCGGCGACCUUGGGGGAGGAGGAGGCGGGGUCGAGGGCGAGGGUGAGGGGGUGGAGGGCGGCGUCGGCGUCGGCGGCGGAGAGGCCGAAGAGGAUAGAGGAGGAUGAGGAGGGGGGAUCGGCGGCUGGGGCGGAGGAGUCGGAGAGGGGGUCGAGGCGGUCGAGCACGGCCUUGCACGCGGCGACGAGGGCGGAGUGCUUGCGCCACGACGCGUUCUUGAUGAUCUUGUCGAGGGCGGGGCCGAGGACGCGACCCGCGCUCGAUGCGCCCCCGAGGGGAUGGGAGGAGGACGACGACGUCAUCGUCCUGGAAGGAAUAAGACGACGACGAAGAGGCAGAAGCAGAAGCAGAAGAGCGGAUCCGAUCCGAUCCGAUCCGAUCCGAUCCGACCUUAGGGCUGAGGUUAGGGACUGGGAUCGGGAUUAGCGUUUGAGAUCGGGGAAGGGGCCAUUCGGGAGGAGAUGGAGGAGGAGCAGGAGGAGGAGAUCUGAGACUUAUGAGAGGAGGUGUUUUGCAAUUUGCAUUCGCCUUGCCCUCCUCACGUGAAGGAGGAGAGGAAACGUGAGUAUGGGAAGCGGAGAAGCGAAGGGUAUGUUUUUGUCAUUUCGGUGUUCUGCGCGACCGGAUCGGAACAUGUUCAUCGGUUCAUGUUUGCACGCCCGGCGCAGCUUAACCCAACAACAGUUGCAGUAAUUUUGGAUCCAAUAACAGUUGCAAGAAUUUGGCUUACUUUAUCAAACUUCAAAUUUUCGAGAUAAUUAUCUAUAUAUCUUUCAAAAUUUCUGAAAUAUUUCUUAUAUUUUCAUUUUGUUAUUUUAAAUAUACCUUUUGCAUAUUUUCUAUUAUUUAAAAAUAACUUCGAUGUUAAUACCAUUAAACCAUCUCAAAUUAAACUUGGGUUAAAUUUCUAUCAUAGUUACAAUAAAGUCAAAAUAUCAACAUAAAAAAAGUUGAAGACGGUUAAAGAAUAUAUUUGAAAGAAUAAAAUAAUAAAUUUUAUAAAGAGAAUGGUCGUUUCUAUCAAAUUACUAACAGAAUUUAAUAAAGCAUAUUUGAAACAACUUGAAAUGUUAAAAGACAUUCUUUUAUAUUAGCCUUCUAGCAUGAUAAAUAAGAAUGUAUAAACUUUUCAUAAGUAUAUAAAUAAUUACCCUUAAAUUAUUUUAAGGCCAAUUUGCAUAAAAAAUCCACUAGUUUUGAGAUUUUACAAAUCUAGACCGCAUUUUUCGAUUUUACAGAUUCGGUCUGAAUUUCAGCAAACUGACCAAAAUACACUUAUACCUUUUUCUCUUUUCUUUUUUUUUCUCGGGUUUUUUUUUUCUCGCCGAAGAAGUCGGCAGAGGAGAAAACGCCCCCCCUCGCCAAUGCCCCUCAUGCCCUCGCCCUCGCCUGCGCACGCCCCGCCCUCCUCGCCUCCGACCCCGUCGAGGCCGUGUCGCGACUCUCUCUUUUUUUUUUCCACUCCGACCCUCCUCCACCCGCCAUCCCCACCACCGCCGCCAGCGAUAAAGAGGAAGUGUUUCUAUGGGCCUAGAAGCACACCGACGAGAAAGAAAGGGAAAAAUAGUUAUACUCCGGCAAGGGCGAUGGUUGCGAUAGAGGGCAAGGGAGAGGUCUGACCAAAAAAAAUUAUAGAGAGAAAAAAUGAGAAUAAUAAAAAAAUAAAAGGGAAACUUCAAAUACUCCCCCUGUGGUUUCGCUCUUUCUCACUUCAAUACCUUGUAGUUUAAAGUGUAUCAAGUUAGUACCCUGUGGUUUCACACUGUCACGCCUCGAGAUCGCUACCAAUUUGGUCCGGUUCGGGCGCGUCGAACAGAUGCCGCCGGACGGACAGCACUUCCCCUGUCCGCCCAAGGCUAAACAACCCGAUCAUGUACAAGAAUUUGCCCAGGAAAAAAAAUUUAAUACAUACAUGAUCAAUACGGAGCACCACAAGUGCUAAACAAGUAAGAGCAAGCAUCACAAAUAACAUACAAGUGAAAUAAAGAGAGAUACAUCUAGCUAUUACAUCACAUUCAUCUUUCCUUUACAUUGAGUCUACAUAUUUGCUUUACAACUUCCAAAAACAUACAUGUCACAGCUCUCUAAUGUGAAAGAUAUGGAUCCCGAGGGUCUAAAAGGUAAAAAACACCUAGAGGGGGGUGAAUAGGUGUAAAACAGCAAAAACAAAAACUCUCGAUGCAAAUAAAAAGAUAUAACGGAAAAUAAAACAGCACACCGAGAUUUUAACAUGGGAAAACUCCAAUCCGGAGUGAAAAACCCACGGGACCGAUCACGCGAAGAAAAUCCACUAAGAAAACUUGAGUACAAGUGAUUUUAACCAAAAUACAUUACUCAAUUUACCGAAUUCCUAUUGUUGAUGGUCUUCGCCGGUCCUUGAUCGAUAGGAAUCCUCCAAUCGACCUCGCCGCAACUCCUUGCUGCAUCAACGCCUCAACUCCUUGAAGCGUCCACCGAAUCCUCGGCUUCACGCAAGAUCCACGCGCCAAACCUCCUUUCGGAGCUUGUAGAAUCGAAGAUUUGCGGUGAUUCAACUUUUGAAAACCAUAAGCUAUGGGAGUUCACCUUUUAUCAAACAUCUACUUGAUUCUCGAAGAAGAUCUCGAGUAAAAAACGAAGAAUCAAGUCGAUCGUUGAUUAUACGAAACUUGUUAUAAGAAUAGAAUCAUAAGAAUGGGAAAACAAGUUUCUAGGGUUUUAGAUCAGUAGAAAUUCAAAGCCUUAACCCAUAUGACGAACCCCAUGGCUUAUUUAUAUGUUUAGAAGACUUAGAAGUAGACUAGAAUUGCAAAAAGUCUAUUUUAAAAACUGGUGUCGUCCUCAGGGACCGGUCCUCUCGAGGAGACCGGUCUCUCAAGUAGGAGACCGGUCCCUCGCUGCGUGACAGAAAACACAACGUUAGGGAACCGGUCUCUCAUGCCAGAGACUGGUCCCUCGCUGCGUGACAGAAAAUUCCAUGUUCGGGAACCGAUCUCCCUUUUCAGAGACCGAUUGCCUCUACAUCCCACGCAGUGAGGACCUUCGGGGACCGAUCUCUCAACUCUGGGACCGGUCCCAGAACACUGAAAAGUUCAGUUUAAGCUUCAUAAUGCAAUCUAAGUCUUUUGAACUUAUUAUAAUUAAAUAUCUUUACCACAAAUGAUCUAUUCUUCAUACCUGAGGUGCCGAGCUUUCCAAAAUGAGUCUUUGUUCUUUAAAUUGAAUCUUUUCUUCAAACUUCCACAAUCAACUCUUCAAGACUUCAUUCGACUUUACGAAAUCCGCCAACCUAGAAAAUCCUUAACAAUCUCCUCCUUUGACGAUUUCAUGACAAAACAUAUUACAAUGCUCGUACACAACUCAGAAACAAUAAAAAGAAGAUCAUCGCAAUCACCAAACGACAAUCUCCUGCAUGAUCGAUCCAAUAAAAGAAAAAUUACACUUUUCUCACAUUCCUAAUACAAACUCUAUGACUUAAACAUGGAGUCUUGAAGUCUUGAACAUUCCUGCAAAAACAUUCUUAAAGCACAAUCAAGAUUCAAGAAUACUUAUCAUAUCAAAAGAUCAAACAUAAACGUCAAAGCAAUAGUCAUAGUUCAAGACACAUCAACAGUCAUAGUUCAUCUAAGUCAUAGUCAUAAAUCAUCUAAGCAAACAUCUAAUCUAAAUUUACAUAACUAAGCAAAACACCAAAAAAUGAGCAUCAUGGGCAUCAUUAUCAUCAUCAUGAGCAUGAGCAUCAUCAUCAUCAUGAGCAUCUCCCCCUUUUUGUCAGAAAGCACCAAAAUGACAAAAGGAGGAACCCCGCACCGCUCAGUUGGAGUCGUCACCCUGCAGAUGAAGAUCUGAGCUACAACAACCCAAUUUAUCAAAGAUUGCUUUCAUCAAACGUUUAAUCUUACUCACAUCCUUCCUUAUCUGAGCCUGAUCCGCAGACAAUUUCUGAAGCUCUUCAGAUAAUCGCUGUUGCUCACGAUACACAGAUGAAACCGAGACAUCCUCUUCAGAAAUAUCCAUAGAAGGACGUGAAGAAGCAGGAGCAGCAGGAGGUGGAGCAGCAAGAGGUGAAGCAGUUCGCUGAGACGGAGUUCUAAGCUGCACAGAGGACUUCACAAACGUCCUUUCAUUAAUCCGUCCUAAGCUUUGCUCAUAGGAUGCACAACGAGUAUCUACCUCAUAGAGUCGCAGAAUCCUCAUGAUAAUCAACGGAAAUGGCAACCUUUCAUUUUGCCCGGAAGUCUUGAUGUCCUUUGCCAUCCUCCGCCAGAUCAAAAACGGAAUGUUCAUGUUGAUAUUCUUGGCUUUUACAAUGUCCGGCCUACCCAACAAAUACAUGUAAAGGAUGUGAUCCCAUCUCAAAAUCUUCGUGUUUGCAAGAGGCAAAAUGUUAUAGCAAACCAUGAAGUUCAAAAACCUGUAUUCCAUCUUGAAAUCCUUAGACAGUACCAUAAUCCCGUUUGAUUCUGUACCCGGCAUGCAAAUAUAAUUCACAAUACGAUUCCAAUCCCAAAGCCAGUCAAAACUGGCCUGCAGAUACUCAACUCCCUCAGUACGUGCUUCCAUCCCUAGCACAGAUGCUAUCGUAUCGGGAGUGAUAGUCAACUCAACUCCACGUACGGAAGUAGUGAAUAAGUACGGGCCGCCGUCAGAGUCACUCAAAUGACCUGCCCUCAUGUAAAAUUCUCUGAUCAGCUCCAAACAAAAACCAGUCUGCUCCGAGAAAUCGCAAAUCUGAUGUAGAUUUCCUUUUUCAAAUAGAUCUUGAAAUCCCAGCAUGCACUCAAUGAUACUAGCAACUCCAACAUCUCGCUCACCAAUACAGUGCUUUGAUGAGUACAUUGACCUACGACCGGAAGGAACAUCUUGCACACUGAGACGAAGAGGCUCAGAACCCGGUUCUCUGAUCUCAAAACCCCCAGACUUCCUCCGACCUGCAUAUUCAGUCACCUUUUCUUUUCCCUUGUCCAGUGCUUUUCCUUUUCCUUCAUCAACUGCCUUUCCUUUGCCCUUUCCUUUUCUUUUGUCCUUAUCCUUAGUUAGAACCUCUGGAGUAAAUGCCUCCCAAUCUGGCUCAUCCUCCUCAGAUUCUUCGCUCGGAGCAUAUUCGCUACCUUCAUCUUCCGGUUGUUGCUCAACCGGUCGCUUAGCCGAGGAACGUUGACGUUUGCUACCGCGACCACCACCGACCAUAAGAAAAACAAGCACGAGUAACCAGGAAUACAUGAUUUUAAAAGGCACCUGUUAAAGACAAUAAUGUAUACAUAUUGAACAUAAGAACAAUCGGUAUUUGAUUCCAAAAACUUUAGCAAAUUGAUAUGUAAUAUGCUAGAUAAUCCUAGGGGCCAUAUAAUCAUGAAAAUCAUGGACAAAUUAUGCAUCAAAAUCAGUAAAAAACACAUUUUUUUCGAAAAAUUUUGAAAAAUUAGGUUUUGAUGAUGAAAACCCAUAAAAAUCGACCAAAUAGAUGAAACAGAUCAUGAAGAAAUACAAGAGAAUAUUGAAAUAACAUGUCUAGGAACAAAAUCGAUACACAUAUAAUCAGAUGCAGCUAGAUUUCUAGAAGAAACACCAAAAAAUUUGAAAAUAAACACAUUUUCGGAGUACACGAGAUGAGUGCAAUAAAAUCCGAAGAUCAUACCGAAAACAAGUGCAAAUCGAUGAAGAACGUAAGUAAAAACACUCUGGAGACAGGAGAGGCUCGAGGGAGGAAGAAGAAAGUGUUUUGAAAAGAGUACAAAAAGCACCGAGCAAAAACCUUUUUAUCGGGUCGGGCGGAGGGACCGGUCUCUCCUGCUAGGGACCGGUCCCAGAGCCUGGAUUUUUUUAAAAAAUUUUAUUUUAAGUUCAAAUUUUCCAGAAAAAUUAUACGUUAUUCCAAAAUGUCCAAUCAUCAAAAAUAAUCAAUUCCAUUCCCAAUAACUUCAAAUAAAAUUUCAUAAAUAAAUUUUGAAAAUUCAAUUUCAAGGAUAUUCAAUUUAUCAAAAAUUGUUGACCCGAAAAUCAAUGAAAAUUCUAGAUACAUAUAAAAUAAAAUUCCACACAUCAUGCAAGAUCUAGGAAUUAAUUGUAUCGUUUUAUCAUUAUAUUUGUUAAAGAAAUUGUAUAAAUAAAUCUCAUAAUCGUGAAAUUAAAAUAAUAUGUUCAAAUUGAGUUAUGCACAAUAUUCGAGAUAGGAGUGGCUCUUUGAGCAUCUUUUUAACAUUCCACCUUAUAUCACCUAGGAGAUGUAUAGCUCUUUAAGCAUUUUUUUUUUAUUUUAUCAUCUUCGAAAUAUCUCAAAACAUAAAUUUUUAAAAUAUUUUCUUUUUGUCUUAUAGAGAUACUUGAAUCAACAUGUGGUAGCUGCACACACUGACCGGACGACCGGGGUGGUAGCUCUUUCCUCCAUGUAGUGGUAGUUUUCACACUCCCAGCUAGGAUGUAACUCUUUCCACAUCUUUUGAAUUUAAGAUAUUUCCAUAACCAUAGUCAGAAGACUCCCCCUAAAUUAGUGCAACCCUCAAGUAAAAAAUAUUAUUACAAUUUCAAAAACAGAGAAAGAGUUAUUCAUCUCAUAACUAAUAAUCAAACAAACAAUUGCAACAUUCAAAGUUCGAAGCAUGAGGUGUUGAAUUUGAUUCAGUAUACUAAACAGAAUUUCAACGAUUUGAUCGUUCAAAAAUUAUGACAAUAGAGAAUAACAUUGACAGUGAUCAAUCAAAAACUAAAUAUGAACAAUUAAAGUCAUACGAUAGAGCUACCAAAAACCAAUUUAUCUCCCAAAAACAGCAACAUCAUUCAAGAAAUUCAAUCGUCUCUCAAGAAUAAUCAGGAAAAAUCGAAAAACGUGCACAUAAACAAAAUGCAACAUGCACAUGAUCUAUGGCCCAAUAGAAUGUAUCUAGUUUGAAGGAUUCAUACCAAUAGCCUUUCUUAAAUGCAGAAAACGUUUUUGAUCCAAGGGUUUGGUUAAAAUAUCCGCGAGUUGAUUUUCAGUUGAAAUAUAUUCAAGUUGAAGAACGUUUGAUUCAACCAAUUCUCUCAAAAAGUGAUAUCUUAGUUCAAUAUGCUUUGUUCGUGAAUGUAAAACAUGAUUUUUUGAAAUAUUUAUGGCACUCGUGUUGUCACAUAGAAUUGUAAAAGUGGUGGAGGAGAUCCGAUAAUCACUCAACAAGCUUUUCAUCCAGAUUAAUUGAGUAGAGCAACUACCGGCCGCAAUGUAUUCCGCCUCUGCAGUGGAGAGUGCAAUACAGUUUUAUUUUUUACUAUGCCACGCAACAAGACAGUGUCCAAGGUAAAAACAAGCUCCACUAGUGCUUUUCCGAUCAUCUGCAGAACCUGCCCAGUCAGCAUCUGAGUAGCCGAUUAAGUCCAAAGACGUCCCCAUAGGAUACCAUAGACCAUAAGCGG